rnacentral:lncRNA from 1 species
UUAUAAUGGUAAAACGUUUGUCCAAGAAGAAGCUUCGUAGACAGGCAAACUUGAAAGAGAUCGCUGCGUGGUCUGGAUUGUACUGGUUCUGCAAAAGGGAAAUUGAGAAUGCCAUGAAUUAUGGCGGUGAAAAGAUAUGCCUUGGACGUGGGAGUGCAGGGCAGGUGUAUAGAGGUAUUCUCCCAAGUGGUCAACUCGUGGCCAUCAAGCAUUUAACAAAGAGUAACACCUCUGAGUCUUUCACUCGAGAAGUUGAAGGUCUUUCAAGGCUUCGCCAUCCUAACCUGGUUUGCCUCUUUGGAUGCUGCAUAGAAGGGGAUGAGAGAUAUUUAGUCUAUGAAUUCUGUGCAAACGGGAAUCUUGCUCAACAUCUCUUAAGUAAUGUUCUCUUUCCUUACCUCCACUCUUCAUUAAUCAUUUAACAUGUCUAAUGUAAAUAAUCACUUUUUAGUUACCUCUAUUUAGAUAUAGAUUUGACUUUAGCCUUCAUGAUUCUUUUUUAUGCAGUUUCAUAAAUGUUUUUGCCUUUUUUUUAUUGUUGCCUAAUUAAAAUUAGAGCUUCAUAUCAGUAAUUCUCCUUGACAUUUAAUGAAAUUGUUUACUAUGCGAAUUAUUGAGGUGAAACUUUAACUCUGAUUAGAUAACAACACCAAAAUCAAAAUCAGUAUUUCAUCCAAGUUUUGUCCUUCUUUUAUUUCCUUGGAGGGUUUUAUAUAUGCGUGUGUGAUUUUGUUCAGGAAGAGAUAGCCACUUGACAUGGGAAACCAGAGUAAGAAUUUUGAGAGAUUGUUCAUAUGCACUCAAGUACCUCCACCAUCAUAUAGAAGGCUGUGUUGUCCAUAGAGAUAUAAAGGUACGUACAUACAUGAUACAUGGUAUGAAAAUUUGGAUCUGUUGUAGCAUAUUAUGCACUUGAAAACAACAUGCAAAUAUAUUUAUAAUGUUUUCAGUUAGCCUUAUGGUAAUGCUUCUGACUGAUUUUAAAUUUUAGCUUACGAACAUUCUUUUGAAUGAGAAAUACCAAGCGAAACUGUCAGAUUUUGGACUGGCAAAAGUGAUGGGGAUUAAAGAGAGCAAGGUUUUUACUGAUGUUAGAGGAACAAUAGGCUACAUGGAUCCAGAGUACAUGAGUAAUGCCAAGCUAACCUGCGCUAGCGAUGUUUACAGUUUUGGUAUUGUUGCUCUACAAAUUCUGUCGGGACAGAAAGUCAUCGAGUUGGAUCUUGAUGCCAGAGAUCAACUCACUAGGAAGGUACUUGCACUUGCAGGGCAGACAGACAAGCAACAACAAAAAAUGUAUGCAUUAUACUUACAUGCCAUUCAACUCAAACUGAGAUAAUUUGAAUAUGGCUUUUGUAGGCAAGAGAUGUGAGCAUGGGAAAG